rnacentral:rRNA from 1 species
AGUAACGGCGAGUGAAGCGGCAAUAGCUCAAAUUUGAAAGCUGGCCUUUGGUCCGCAUUGUAAUUGUAGAGGAUGCUUUUAGGCAGCCGCCGGUCUAAGUUCCUUGGAACAGGACGUCAUAGAGGGUGAGAAUCCCGUAUGUGACCGGCUCAGGCACCUUCUGUAAAGCUCCUUCGACGAGUCGAGUUGUUUGGGAAUGCAGCUCUAAAUGGGAGGUAAAUUUCUUCUAAAGCUAAAUACUGGCGAGAGACCGAUAGCGCACAAGUAGAGUGAUCGAAAGAUGAAAAGUACUUUGGAAAGAGAGUUAAAAAGCACGUGAAAUUGUUGAAAGGGAAGCGCUUGCAAUCAGACUUGGCCUCGGUUGUUCAACCGGUCUUUUGACCGGCCUAUUCAAUCGGGGGCAGGCCAGCAUCAGUUUCGGCGGCCGGAUAAAGGCCUUGGGAAUGUGGCCUCUCCUUCGGGGGAGGUGUUAUAGCCCAGGGUGUAAUACGGUCAGCUGGGACUGAGGUCCGCGCUUCGGCUAGGAUGCUGGCGUAAUGGUUGUAAGCGGCCCGUCUUGAAACACGGACCAAGGAGUCUAACAUCUAUGCGAGUGUUAGGGUGUCAAACCCUUACGCGUAAUGAAAGUGAACGGAGGUGGGAACCCGCAAGGGUGCACCAUCGACCGAUCCUGAUGUCUUCGGAUGGAUUUGAGUAAGAGCAUAGCUGUUGGGACCCGAAAGAUGGUGAACUAUGCCUGAAUAGGGUGAAGCCAGAGGAAACUCUGGUGGAGGCUCGCAGCGGUUCUGACGUGCAAAUCGAUCGUCAAAUUUGGGUAUAGGGGCGAAAGACUAAUCGAACCAUCUAGUAGCUGGUUCCUGCCGAAU